UACAAAGAGAAGACUGACUGGUAGUGA
rnacentral:piRNA from 1 species